rnacentral:rRNA from 1 species
GACGAACGCUGGCGGCGUGCUUAACACAUGCAAGUCGAACGGAAAGGCCCUGCUUUUGUGGGGUGCUCGAGUGGCGAACGGGUGAGUAACACGUGAGUAACCUGCCCUUGACUUUGGGAUAACUUCAGGAAACUGGGGCUAAUACCGGAUAGGAGCUCCUGCUGCAUGGUGGGGGUUGGAAAGUUUCGGCGGUUGGGGAUGGACUCGCGGCUUAUCAGCUUGUUGGUGGGGUAGUGGCUUACCAAGGCUUUGACGGGUAGCCGGCCUGAGAGGGUGUCCGGCCACAUUGGGACUGAGAUACGGCCCAGACUCCUACGGGAGGCAGCAGUGGGGAAUAUUGCACAAUGGGCGGAAGCCUGAUGCAGCCACGCCGCGUGCGGGAUGACGGCCUUCGGGUUGUAAACCGCUUUCGCCUGUGACGAAGCGUGAGUGACGGUAAUGGGUAAAGAAGCACCGGCUAACUACGUG